UAUACAUCAUAUUUGAUCAUUAUAAACACUUCUGUAAUUGAAUUAAAUAUAUUUUACAUGUAAUAAAUGUAAUAAAUUGAACGAUAACGCAAAGGACUGUACGGAAUUUGUUGUUACAUGAGUCAUGAACUGUUAUAACUGUAUACUAUACUGUCCUUUUCGGGAAUGUAUAUCAACUGCUCGAACUGCGAAGUGAUAAUUAUUUCCUUCAGAAAACUGCAAAAAGGAAGACAUUACAAAUAUCUAUGGAAUAUACUCUAGUUUUUAAACACAAUCUGUUCAAAUUACUUGCGUAAGUGUACACGCCAUAGGUAGUGGUAAAGCUCGAACAUCGCCUACUUUCUUCCACAAUGACGUGUUAGGAGGAACACCAGCAAUUUCCUGAUACGCAUACAACUGGUAUAAAUUUGCAAGUUGUAACAUACCAUGUGCAACUUUAGAAAUUUUUAAUGAUGGAGCUGGUGGUGAAAGUUUCCAAAGAGGAUUUACAGCAUAAUUACGCGUAUCUGGUAAGGGUGCUGGAUGCUGAAACAAAU